UACGGAGGAUGCAAGCGUUAUCCGGAAUUACUGGGCGUAAAGGGCUCGUAGGCGGCCAACUAAGUCAGACGUGAAAUCCCUCAGCUUAACUGGGGAACUGCGUCUGAUACUGGAUGGCUUGGAUUUGGGAGAGGAAUGCGGAAUUCCAGGUGUAGCGGUGAAAUGCGUAGAUAUCUGGAGGAACACCGGUGGCGAAGGCGGCAUUCUGGACCAAUAUUGACGCUGAGGAGCGAAAGCCAGGGGAGCAAACGGG
rnacentral:rRNA from 1 species